GGAAUAUUGCACAAUGGGCGCAAGCCUGAUGCAGCGACGCCGCGUGAGGGAUGACGGCCUUCGGGUUGUAAACCUCUUUCAGCUCCGACGAAGGGUGACUGACGGUAGGGGCAGAAGAAGCGCCGGCCAACUACGUGCCAGCAGCCGCGGUAAGACGUAGGGCGCAAGCGUUGUCCGGAUUUAUUGGGCGUAAAGAGCUCGUAGGCGGCUGGUCGCGUCGACUGUGAAAACCCGCGGCUCAACUGUGGGUCUGCAGUCGAUACGGGCUGGCUGGAGUUCGGUAGGGGAGACUGGAAUUCCUGGUGUAGCGGUGAAAUGCGCAGAUAUCAGGAGGAACACCGGUGGCGAAGGCGGGUCUCUGGGCCGAUACUGACGCUGAGGAGCGAAAGCGUGGGGAGCGAACAGGA
rnacentral:misc_RNA from 1 species